GUGGAUUUAAAUGUUUGUUUUAUGUCGUAAGUAGAAGAAUAAGGUAUUCAUUUAUGUGCCUUAGCCUCACAAUUAUAAGAAGGUUAUUAUCAUGUUUUAUAGAUGACUACAAGCAGGCCUUGAAAAAACUUAGGAAAACCAGGCAGCAGCAUCCCAAAUUACAUUUGAUCUAUAAUUAGAGACAGACCUAAAAUCAAUGCUGCACCUUCUCCCUAUCUUCUUCUCCAUGUAACUCCGGGCCCUGUCACAGAAGGUCACCUGACGUGUUCACGGCACCCACCGAAUCAUCACAGUGCCCACUACAGAGCCAUUGUUUAAGUUCACAGGCAAAAUCCACUGCAGCCACCUCCUAGUGGAUGUUAUGCUUGAACAGAAAGUGCACGAAGUAACAGAUGGCAUCUUGUGACCUUCUUAAUAACAGGCUUGGCUGCCAAUGUUCCCUUGUGUCCAGGCUCUGCAGGGAAUUUGGAAACUGUUGCCUUACACUUGAAUAUUUUCCGGCAAACACAGUUAACCAUUUAUUAGUUAGCUUCCUAAUUUAAAAUAGAGAAAGCAAAACUACACAAAACCAAGUCCCCACCACCUGGAAGGAACACUGCUAUUUCCUGAGUUGGGAGGCCCAUCCUGGGAUUCUUUGGCAUGCGCUCGUAGAAAUCAUGUGGCAUAACUGUCCUUUACAGUGUGGUAUGAAGAGCUCAAUUCCAGGCAAAGUGAGUGUCGUGCUGCCUAGAUUUAUUGAUGAUCAAUGUGAUAUUUUUCCCUUUUUGUAGUUCAAAAGAAAUGUAUGCACUUCUCACAGCAAAGCAUACAAAUGGGGCAGAAAACAAACAGAAUCCUGGCAUUAAAAGUUCCUUCUGCUGUGACAGUUCACACCCAGUGUGAAUGUGCAGAUCCUGUGAAUGGACCUGGAAGGUCUUGUGCCAGAAUGGAAGUGCUGAGAUCUGUCCCUGCCAGACAGUGGGUGUGGAGAGCGUGGUGGAGGAAAGCCAACCAACUAUGGACUGAAACCUCUACAAACUUGCUAAAGAUGGAACCCUGGACCUCCUGGAUGCUGGUUGAACGCUCUACCACUGAACUAUACCCCCAGCCCUCUUACAUCUUUUAAAGUGAGGCUGAUACAUUGCAUUAUAUGUUUCUUCAAGAAUGAAAUUAUUUGCAAAUGCUUCUUAGUAUGCAAUCCUAGUUAAUAUUCCUUAAAAUGUUGAAAUUUGGAGCAUAAGUACCUUUGCCCUAGGGAAAAGAUUAGGCAGAUAUCUGGAGAUUCAAUUGCCUUUUCUCAUGGAGUUGAAGGGUCUUAGAGUCAUUUAAAUGAGAUCAAAAGAAGAUGGAGAUAAGAAGUGAAGGAGAGGAAGCUGCUUGUGAAUAUACCUGUACUCCCAAUACUUUGGUAGGCUGAGGCAGAAGGACUGCAAGUUUAGUCCAGCCUGGGCAUCUUAGCAUCAGAGAGACUCUGUCUCAAAAAUGAAAUAAUAAAUAAGGGCUGAGGAUAUAGCUCACUGCAAAGGCUCUGAGUUCAAUCUCCAGUACUGAAAAAAAAAAGUGAAGGAGAAGAAAGAAAACUGGACUGCCCAACUCUUUUCAACCUACUUAAUGCCAGUGAGCAGCUGGCUAUGUCCUUGUACCUUCACCUGUUCAAGCAAAAAUGGUGAUUUUACUUAAAACUCUGCUAGCAAUUAUUACUGUUUUGAGACAGGAAAAUAAUGGAACAAAUCGUGAAAGGCUAUUUGUAGAAAACACUUUUAAAUUUUCUUCUCAAAUUAUGCGACAGUCUAUAAAAUGUGGAAUAAAAUAAGGUCUUUUAAAGAUAAAUUACAGUAUAAGUGUCCCUUAUUAUCACUUCCUUGUCCUCUGUAAUAUUUUGAUUACUUUUCUCUCUCCAAAUCAAGUAUGACAUCACUUAAACAAUCAUAAUCUCAAGAAUCAAAAGUAGUGACAAUUUCGGUGAAAAUGUUUCCUUUUGAGUUCAGAUACAAUUGUGGGUUAGUUCAUCAAUCUACUAGAUGUUGAGAAAAUCUGUUAAAAAUAAGUUGGACUUCCUGGGGUGGAGGGCUUAGCAUGUGCUAGGCCUUGGAUUUGAUCCCCGACACUGAAAAUAAUGAGAGUAUAAAUGGGACAGACUAAUUUAAUUGGCAUCACAUGUGUGUAAUCUCUAACAUUUCCUAAGAGCCUCGCAUGCACGCUUCAUUCUCGCAUUUCGUGCACACUUCACUUUCUCACGGACACUUGCUCACCACUGAUUCAUCUUCUGACUUCUAUGUUGGAGAGUUCACACUAAGAACUUUCUUUUUGUAACUGGAUUCCAGUGAACUGCGCUUUUCGGCUCCAGGUUGUCAAAUGUGACAGAAGAUUAAUGAAGAGUCCUGUGACAACUCUGGAUUGCGAGGGCAAUUUAGUGAAAACAGAGGCUAAGUGACCUCAUACUAAAUCAAACCAGCAGGGGGCGCGCAAACCACCUGAUGCUAGGGAGCCUUUGGUGGCUGGCCGCGACCCCGCUGCUCUAAAGUAGCUGAUGAGUCUGACGAGCUGGUAAUAGGUAUUAAUGAAAAGGGUUUCAUGGUUAAGUUAGUUUAGAACAAAUUGUAAUAAACUUUAUUUUUCCUGUUGGGUUUCCCAGAGCUUUCUUUCAAAAGGGCCUAGACUAUGCAGUGUGGUCCUAUACUUGACCACAGAACUCUUUUUUCCAGGUGGGACAUCUCUGGAGACUGCAGUACUAGGAAACAACCAGCAGCUG
rnacentral:lncRNA from 1 species